UUAAAUUGAAGAGUUUGAUCAUGGCUCAGAUUGAACGCUGGCGGCAGGCCUAACACAUGCAAGUCGAACGGUAACAGGAAGCAGCUUGCUGUUUCGCUGACGAGUGGCGGACGGGUGAGUAAUGUCUGGGAAACUGCCUGAUGGAGGGGGAUAACUACUGGAAACGGUGGCUAAUACCGCAUAACGUCGCAAGACCAAAGAGGGGGACCUUCGGGCCUCUUGCCAUCAGAUGUGCCCAGAUGGGAUUAGCUUGUUGGUGAGGUAACGGCUCACCAAGGCGACGAUCCCUAGCUGGUCUGAGAGGAUGACCAGCCACACUGGAACUGAGACACGGUCCAGACUCCUACGGGAGGCAGCAGUGGGGAAUAUUGCACAAUGGGCGCAAGCCUGAUGCAGCCAUGCCGCGUGUAUGAAGAAGGCCUUCGGGUUGUAAAGUACUUUCAGCGGGGAGGAAGGUGUUGUGGUUAAUAACCGCAGCAAUUGACGUUACCCGCAGAAGAAGCACCGGCUAACUCCGUGCCAGCAGCCGCGGUAAUACGGAGGGUGCAAGCGUUAAUCGGAAUUACUGGGCGUAAAGCGCACGCAGGCGGUCUGUCAAGUCGGAUGUGAAAUCCCCGGGCUCAACCUGGGAACUGCAUUCGAAACUGGCAGGCUUGAGUCUUGUAGAGGGGGGUAGAAUUCCAGGUGUAGCGGUGAAAUGCGUAGAGAUCUGGAGGAAUACCGGUGGCGAAGGCGGCCCCCUGGACAAAGACUGACGCUCAGGUGCGAAAGCGUGGGGAGCAAACAGGAUUAGAUACCCUGGUAGUCCACGCCGUAAACGAUGUCUACUUGGAGGUUGUGCCCUUGAGGCGUGGCUUCCGGAGCUAACGCGUUAAGUAGACCGCCUGGGGAGUACGGCCGCAAGGUUAAAACUCAAAUGAAUUGACGGGGGCCCGCACAAGCGGUGGAGCAUGUGGUUUAAUUCGAUGCAACGCGAAGAACCUUACCUGGUCUUGACAUCCACAGAAGAAUCCAGAGAUGGAUUUGUGCCUUCGGGAACUGUGAGACAGGUGCUGCAUGGCUGUCGUCAGCUCGUGUUGUGAAAUGUUGGGUUAAGUCCCGCAACGAGCGCAACCCUUAUCCUUUGUUGCCAGCGGUUAGGCCGGGAACUCAAAGGAGACUGCCAGUGAUAAACUGGAGGAAGGUGGGGAUGACGUCAAGUCAUCAUGGCCCUUACGACCAGGGCUACACACGUGCUACAAUGGCGCAUACAAAGAGAAGCGACCUCGCGAGAGCAAGCGGACCUCAUAAAGUGCGUCGUAGUCCGGAUUGGAGUCUGCAACUCGACUCCAUGAAGUCGGAAUCGCUAGUAAUCGUGGAUCAGAAUGCCACGGUGAAUACGUUCCCGGGCCUUGUACACACCGCCCGUCACACCAUGGGAGUGGGUUGCAAAAGAAGUAGGUAGCUUAACCUUCGGGAGGGCGCUUACCACUUUGUGAUUCAUGACUGGGGUGAAGUCGUAACAAGGUAACCGUAGGGGAACCUGCGGUUGGAUCACCUCCUUACCUUAAAGAA
rnacentral:rRNA from 1 species